GGGUAUUCAAUUGCACUACUUGUCUCAUAUCCACCACAACACCCUUGUCACAACCCCUCUCAAAUCGCAUCCCAUUUGGGUCUCCACACUUUUAUUCAUUUAUUCAUUUCAUAUUUAUAUUAUUGUUUUUCACUCACUAAGUCCACGUGAAUUCCUCAUCCCACCACUUUCUUCUUCUUCCUUCUUCGUGUCCUUUUGUGCUUGGGCUGUUUUUGUGAUGGUUGUUGUGGUUGGUUAGUUGGUUGAGUUGUCGUUCGAGUGACAGUGCAACUUCAGACAGCCCCACGACUUUGCAAGCGAACGGAAGCCGCAUGGACAGCAGGUAGGUAGGCUGGUCCAUUAGUUUGCAACAUUAGAUGGGAAUGGAAUGGAAUGCUCAGGGAAUCGAAGUGAGGCGAGGCGAGGUGAGGCAUCGACGUGAAGUGAAGCUCAGGUGGAGGUGGGGAUGGGGGAUGUUGAGCUUCGAAUGCAGCAACUGGACAGGAUCCUCCCUCGCACACCCACUUCUGUAGCCCUGCAGCAUCACUAGUAGCUACGCACAUGCUGAGCCCAUCCGUGCAUGUGAAGUGUCCGAAACUUGCGACGUUUGAUUGCAACCAGAAUCAGUGCCACAUGAUGACAGGGGACGGAGAAGCAGGGAGUGAGUGGGAUAGAGAGAGAGAGAGAGCAGCUGGAUUGCAAUGAAACAGUUCAAAACGAAGCAGGAAUGGUGUCUAACCAGACGCGCCGUGGCCACUUGCUCGCCACUCAUGAUCCCGUACACCCGUCGGAGAGUUUGGAGUGCACUUGAACCCCAUUGUGAGGAAGUUUUCAUCAUUUAGUCCGUGAGCUCGGCCGAUGUUUUCCAUGAAAUCGAUUCGGAGAAUUAUUCCAGGUGCACUGGUACUUGCAUUACACGACGCCUGUAACAAACACCAUUUGAGCCGAGGAACUCAAUCAAUGUACUGAAAAUCCUAGACUAUUUUAUCAUGAAGUUACGGAACUCCGUGAGGUGUGGGAUUGAAGCAAAAGCAAAUUACACUUUUUGUGGUCGCCGCUGGGUGAUGAACAGAUUCCUUCAUUCAUUAAACCGGAAAGCUAAACAAAAUUCCUUGAUAUAUAUAUAUAUAUAUAUCUAUAUGGCUCUUUUUUCAUGCAAGAUCCUCCAGACGAACUGUGGUGUAGGAGCCAGAGUCAGCAGCUCUGACAACCAGCUUCCUGCUGAUGCGUAUCUUUCCAGCCAGAGACACUGUGCUCACAUCAUGCCUACGCACAGUAAAAUUAUAAGGGCGCGCGAAGAACGUAAUAUACGAUGGUAAUUCUGACUGUCUGCGGAAGGCGAUUUUGGGUAGUGGCACUCCCACUGGAUUCAUGAAGUCCGACAGCCUACAAGAGCAAACACGCUUUCACCAAAACUCUGAAUGGGUCCCCUCUCACUGAACAAGUUGUUUCAGACACCUUGCUUCUAUGACACAAGCUUGUCCACAGCUGUUGACAGCCUCUAGUUUGGACCAGUGACGGAUGACUUUUGAUGGUUCUUCAUGUGCAUAUCGGCGUAUUUCAAUGAUUGAAGAUUAAGAGAACACAAUGAUAUUGUGACUAAGUGAGAUACUUGCCUUGUCCAAGUUUGCAAAACAGGGUUUGAGGUUCGGCACAGCAUUCCAGGGAGUAGAAUGUAGCUUUGGAAAGCAACUGUAGGGGGAUCGAAAUUCCACUAGUUCCGAGACAGCUUAUCACUCGAUUACAGAGUUGAUAUUCCCUUCACGCAGCUUAGAAGUUCAAUCUGUUGGAUACUCGUUCUGGGUGGAUUACGUCGUCGAUGUUCCCUCACUCUGCGCUUAGAUUUUCAUUCGACAUUGGGUCUUAUUAAGGUGAGGUUUCUGAAAACACGACGUGGUUUUGUGAUCCAUGGUGAUACUGGAAGUGUAUUUUGAACAGGUAGAUUUAGCAACGACGCGACUUAGAGCCCUUACUGGCAGGGUCAUGUGCUAACCUUCGAGCAAAAAUUAGAGCUGCACAAUUUCGUGUCGCUUUUCAUAAGUCGUAUUAUGGAGAGGCUUUAGAACUUCUUAUUGUUUUCUUCGAUUUGUGGAUUGCAGCGGCUGCGUGCAUUGGAAGAAAUCCACGCCAUUUAAACAAGCUGACGCACAGGAGGUAUCUUUGGGCAAUGGGCAAUGGUGAGUUCCACUUCUCUCCACCCGAGGGAUCACGCUCUCCCCGACUACGGCUCACAACCCAAAAGAUGCCGCUCGAGCCA